rnacentral:misc_RNA from 1 species
GAUGAAGAACGCAGCGAAAUGCGAUAAGUAGUGUGAAUUGCAGAAUUCAGUGAAUCAUCGAAUCUUUGAACGCACAUUGCGCCCCUCGGUAUUCCGUGGGGCAUGCCUGUUCGAGCGUCAUUUAACCCCUCAAGCCUAGCUUGGUAUUGGGUGCUUGUCCCGCCUCUCGCGCGGCGACUCACCUCAAAGUCAUUGGCAGCCCGCAUCUCGCCGGCCGUGAGCGCAGCACAGACGCGCUCUUGGCAACGACGGAUCGGCUCUCCAGAAGCUUAUUUCAACCACUGACCUCGGAUCAGGUAGGGAUACCCGCUGAACUUAAGCAUAUCAAUAAGCGGAGGA